rnacentral:rRNA from 1 species
GAUGAACGCUGGCGGCGUGCUUAACACAUGCAAGUCGAACGAGAAAUGGAGACGGAAACCUUCGGGCGGAAGGCUUCAUUUCGAGUGGCGGACGGGUGAGUAACGCGUGGGUAACCUGCCUCAUACAGGGGGAUAACAGUUGGAAACGACUGUUAAUACCGCAUAAGACCACAGCACCGCAUGGUGCGGGGGUAAAAACUCCGGUGGUAUGAGAUGGACCCGCGUUCGAUUAGCCAGUUGGCGGGGUAACGGCCCACCAAAGCGACGAUCGAUAGCCGAUCUGAGAGGAUGACCGGCCACAUUGGGACUGAGACACGGCCCAAACUCCUACGGGAGGCAGCAGUGGGGAAUAUUGCACAAUGGGGGAAACCCUGAUGCAGCGACGCCGCGUGAGUGAAGAAGUACUUCGGUAUGUAAAGCUCUAUCAGCAGGGAAGAAAAUGACGGUACCUGAGUAAGAAGCCCCGGCUAACUACCUG